GGUGGCUCAGUGGUAGGGCGCUUGUCUUGCAUGCAUGAGGUCCUGGGUUCAAUUCCUCAGCACCA
rnacentral:tRNA from 1 species